UCCCCGGUAGCUCAGCGGUAGAGCAGCUCGCUGUUAACGAGUUGGUCGUAGGUUCGAUCCCUACCCGGGGAGCCA
rnacentral:tRNA from 2 species